GUUAAGCGACUAAGCGUACACGGUGGAUGCCCUGGCAGUCAGAGGCGAUGAAGGACGUGCUAAUCUGCGAUAAGCGUCGGUAAGGUGAUAUGAACCGUUAUAACCGGCGAUUUCCGAAUGGGGAAACCCAGUGUGUUUCGACACACUAUCAUUAACUGAAUCCAUAGGUUAAUGAGGCGAACCGGGGGAACUGAAACAUCUAAGUACCCCGAGGAAAAGAAAUCAACCGAGAUUCCCCCAGUAGCGGCGAGCGAACGGGGAGCAGCCCAGAGCCUGAAUCAGUGUGUGUGUUAGUGGAAGCGUCUGGAAAGGCGCGCGAUACAGGGUGACAGCCCCGUACACAAAAAUGCACAUGCUGUGAGCUCGAUGAGUAGGGCGGGACACGUGGUAUCCUGUCUGAAUAUGGGGGGACCAUCCUCCAAGGCUAAAUACUCCUGACUGACCGAUAGUGAACCAGUACCGUGAGGGAAAGGCGAAAAGAACCCCGGCGAGGGGAGUGAAAAAGAACCUGAAACCGUGUACGUACAAGCAGUGGGAGCACGCUUAGGCGUGUGACUGCGUACCUUUUGUAUAAUGGGUCAGCGACUUAUAUUCUGUAGCAAGGUUAACCGAAUAGGGGAGCCGAAGGGAAACCGAGUCUUAACUGGGCGUUAAGUUGCAGGGUAUAGACCCGAAACCCGGUGAUCUAGCCAUGGGCAGGUUGAAGGUUGGGUAACACUAACUGGAGGACCGAACCGACUAAUGUUGAAAAAUUAGCGGAUGACUUGUGGCUGGGGGUGAAAGGCCAAUCAAACCGGGAGAUAGCUGGUUCUCCCCGAAAGCUAUUUAGGUAGCGCCUCGUGAAUUCAUCUCCGGGGGUAGAGCACUGUUUCGGCAAGGGGGUCAUCCCGACUUACCAACCCGAUGCAAACUGCGAAUACCGGAGAAUGUUAUCACGGGAGACACACGGCGGGUGCUAACGUCCGUCGUGAAGAGGGAAACAACCCAGACCGCCAGCUAAGGUCCCAAAGUCAUGGUUAAGUGGGAAACGAUGUGGGAAGGCCCAGACAGCCAGGAUGUUGGCUUAGAAGCAGCCAUCAUUUAAAGAAAGCGUAAUAGCUCACUGGUCGAGUCGGCCUGCGCGGAAGAUGUAACGGGGCUAAACCAUGCACCGAAGCUGCGGCAGCGACGCUUAUGCGUUGUUGGGUAGGGGAGCGUUCUGUAAGCCUGCGAAGGUGUGCUGUGAGGCAUGCUGGAGGUAUCAGAAGUGCGAAUGCUGACAUAAGUAACGAUAAAGCGGGUGAAAAGCCCGCUCGCCGGAAGACCAAGGGUUCCUGUCCAACGUUAAUCGGGGCAGGGUGAGUCGACCCCUAAGGCGAGGCCGAAAGGCGUAGUCGAUGGGAAACAGGUUAAUAUUCCUGUACUUGGUGUUACUGCGAAGGGGGGACGGAGAAGGCUAUGUUGGCCGGGCGACGGUUGUCCCGGUUUAAGCGUGUAGGCUGGUUUUCCAGGCAAAUCCGGAAAAUCAAGGCUGAGGCGUGAUGACGAGGCACUACGGUGCUGAAGCAACAAAUGCCCUGCUUCCAGGAAAAGCCUCUAAGCAUCAGGUAACAUCAAAUCGUACCCCAAACCGACACAGGUGGUCAGGUAGAGAAUACCAAGGCGCUUGAGAGAACUCGGGUGAAGGAACUAGGCAAAAUGGUGCCGUAACUUCGGGAGAAGGCACGCUGAUAUGUAGGUGAAGUCCCUCGCGGAUGGAGCUGAAAUCAGUCGAAGAUACCAGCUGGCUGCAACUGUUUAUUAAAAACACAGCACUGUGCAAACACGAAAGUGGACGUAUACGGUGUGACGCCUGCCCGGUGCCGGAAGGUUAAUUGAUGGGGUCAGCGCAAGCGAAGCUCUUGAUCGAAGCCCCGGUAAACGGCGGCCGUAACUAUAACGGUCCUAAGGUAGCGAAAUUCCUUGUCGGGUAAGUUCCGACCUGCACGAAUGGCGUAAUGAUGGCCAGGCUGUCUCCACCCGAGACUCAGUGAAAUUGAACUCGCUGUGAAGAUGCAGUGUACCCGCGGCAAGACGGAAAGACCCCGUGAACCUUUACUAUAGCUUGACACUGAACAUUGAGCCUUGAUGUGUAGGAUAGGUGGGAGGCUUUGAAGUGUGGACGCCAGUCUGCAUGGAGCCGACCUUGAAAUACCACCCUUUAAUGUUUGAUGUUCUAACGUUGACCCGUGAUCCGGGUUGCGGACAGUGUCUGGUGGGUAGUUUGACUGGGGCGGUCUCCUCCUAAAGAGUAACGGAGGAGCACGAAGGUUGGCUAAUCCUGGUCGGACAUCAGGAGGUUAGUGCAAUGGCAUAAGCCAGCUUGACUGCGAGCGUGACGGCGCGAGCAGGUGCGAAAGCAGGUCAUAGUGAUCCGGUGGUUCUGAAUGGAAGGGCCAUCGCUCAACGGAUAAAAGGUACUCCGGGGAUAACAGGCUGAUACCGCCCAAGAGUUCAUAUCGACGGCGGUGUUUGGCACCUCGAUGUCGGCUCAUCACAUCCUGGGGCUGAAGUAGGUCCCAAGGGUAUGGCUGUUCGCCAUUUAAAGUGGUACGCGAGCUGGGUUUAGAACGUCGUGAGACAGUUCGGUCCCUA
rnacentral:rRNA from 1 species